rnacentral:tRNA from 1 species
GAGAGUAUAGCUCAGUGAUAGAGUGCAUGCUUAGCAUGCACUAAGCAUGCACCAAGGUCCUGGGUUCAAUCCCCAGUGCCUCCA